ensembl:lncRNA LOC120103476 uncharacterized LOC120103476
UCAAAAUCAACCAAAGGGACAUUAAAAGACGGACAUCACAGCAAUAAAGAUGGUUUUCCAUGCAGCUUGGCGCAGAGGAGAAAUGAAGCAGUGACUAGAGGCAGAAGCCAGGAAAGAAGCCGACUCUCAAGCAGGAAUCAGAAACUCGUGGGGUAAAUGACUUACUCUGGAGCUGAAACAGGGAAUGUACGAAACAAACCGGAGAACAUCUUAUGCCUGAGAGGAAGAAAGCACACCGUGGACGAGGAAGAUACAGCAAAAGGACAGAAGCUUCAGCUUAAAAGACAUCGAAAAUAAUGAGAGUAAUGGGUUACAGUCUUUGACUAAACUCGGACUCCGUAUGUCUAUCUAUGUUAAUAUAAAUAAGUGAACGGAUUAUUGGAGGAGAAGACUAGCUCUCAUUUAUAGUACAAGGCCAACCAAUAAAAACAGAAGACGUGAUGGGACUGACACUCUUCAUGUAGCAAACAGUCUAAAGGGGGUUCAUUCUGUCAGUGAGGACUAAGGUCAGUACUUGGAAGUCUGAUAAGAAACUGUAGGUUUUUGCCUCAGACUGAGUCCCCACAAAAUUUUAAACAAAUGCAAUCGAGAAAAAUGUUCCGUUUAAGGCAGAGAGGCCCUGAAAGCAUCAGCAUGUGCCUCCGGAUGUGAGGCUCUAUGUAGAGAGCAUUUCCGUAGACUUACAGCCAAGAAUGCACAACCUCGGUCCGAUCAUAAGAAACUAAGCCCAAAUCAGAGGUCACCACGCAGAAUACACAGCUAACUGUCAAGCACAGGGAGAACAAGGAUGGACAGAGGGGCUGCAGCUGUGUGAAGAAACCUGAGGAGACACGAGAACCAAGGCACUGCCUGUUCUUGGACUGAGGCCUGGAGCGCAGAGGAGAAAGGAAUCUGGAGGAUUCUUGGUGAAAAUCAAAUACAGCUAGUGAACUGGCCAGGGCUGUUACGCCACACCGGAUAAUCAGGUCUGGAGAGCCGCAUGUUGGUGCUGAAGGAAAGAGUACUUGUCUGGAGAAAAUACAUCCUGGAAUGUGGCAGGGGACGGUUCCAUCAUGGCUCCAGCUCCCACUCAAGUGGAUGAGAAGCAAAGACCAUUCAUAGCCCAACUAGGGGGACAGCGGAUGGCAAUAAAUACACAAAACAUUAAUGAGUGGAGAGACUGGUGAGGGAGUGCUUGCAUUCCAGAAACUUCAAAAAUGAUUUCAAAAUGAAUGAAAGGGAAUCUAUUAUGUAAUAGCUAUAUACAGCUAUGUAUUUAGGCAGACACACAUCCAGGGUGGUGCAAAUUAAAACUACAUGAGAUCCUAUGACACAUCAACAAAAGAGCUAGUUAAAAUAACCGUAGUACCCCAUGUUCAAAAGGGUGUGGAGGAAGAGGAGC